CAGUCGCCGCGGUAAUACAGAGGGUGCGAGCGUUAAUCGGAUUUACUGGGCGUAAAGCGUGCGUAGGCGGCUUUUCAAGUCGGAUGUGAAAUCCCUGAGCUUAACUUAGGAAUUGCAUUCGAUACUGGGAAGCUAGAGUAUGGGAGAGGAUGGUAGAAUUCCAGGUGUAGCGGUGAAAUGCGUAGAGAUCUGGAGGAAUACCGAUGGCGAAGGCAGCCAUCUGGCCUAAUACUGACGCUGAGGUACGAAAGCAUGGGGAGCAAACAGGAUUAGAUACCCCUGUAGUCCCUGUCUCUUAUAC
rnacentral:rRNA from 1 species